UUGGUCCUGUUCUGCCCUUUACUAAAAAUUUAAAUCAUUUCUAUGACUAGGCUCUUAUUUUGAAACUCAUGCUAUUAUUCUGACACAUGUACCAUACAACCAGAAGUGCUUUGAUACACGUGACUUGAAAUGCAUGAACCUGAGAGAAAGAAGAAAGAUCUGCAUAGCGGGGCAUCCCUUCAAUCAAUAGACAAUUUUGCGUGAAGCAAUACUCAUAUACCAAAUGUAUUACAUCAUGUAUUGCUACAUCCAUCCAUUCUCUGAGCUGCUUAGCCACACAAGGGUUGUGGGAAUGCUGGAGCCUAUCCCAGCUAUCUUCACCUAGGAGUGGGAGGAAACCAGAAUGCCCGGAGGAAAACCAUGCAGGCACAGGGAGAACGUGGAAUCUCCACACAGGGAGGCCUGGGAUUGAACCCGGGUCCUCAAAACUGUGAGGCCAUCGCUUUCCAGCUGGUUCACUGUGCCGGCUGGGGAGAACAUACAAACAUCAUACAGUUGGCCAUAGUCAUUGUUGACUUUGAUUGUGGCACUGCCAUCUGUACAUCUGUGGAGCUGCUGUGGCUCGGCUGUCAUCUGCCUACUUCCGUGGAAAUCAUUGCCUUGGUGGAAGGCGCUGGACUUCAGUGUUGUCGCCACUGUGGCCAAGCAGUCUCCCGCAGCGGACUAUCUGCCACCCAGCUUUGGUGGACCUAUCCUUUUGUGUCAUUAUUCAUAAAAGCUGCUCUCUGUACAAGCUUAAAGGAAGACCCUCCCCAAAAUUCACAUGUAC